GCCUCGGUAGUUCAGUGGUAGAUCGCCUGAGUCGAAAAAUCAUAAGCAUGAUAACGUGGGUUCGAUCCCUCCUUGGGACG